GAUGAACGCUGGCGGCGUGCCUAAUACAUGCAAGUCGAGCGAACAGACGAGGAGCUUGCUCCUCUGACGUUAGCGGCGGACGGGUGAGUAACACGUGGAUAACCUACCUAUAAGACUGGGAUAACUUCGGGAAACCGGAGCUAAUACCGGAUAAUAUAUUGAACCGCAUGGUUCAAUAGUGAAAGACGGUUUUGCUGUCACUUAUAGAUGGAUCCGCGCCGCAUUAGCUAGUUGGUAAGGUAACGGCUUACCAAGGCGACGAUGCGUAGCCGACCUGAGAGCGUGAUCGGCCACACUGGAACUGAGACACGGUCCAGACUCCUACGGGAGGCAGCAGUAGGGAAUCUUCCGCAAUGGGCGAAAGCCUGACGGAGCAACGCCGCGUGAGUGAUGAAGGUCUUCGGAUCGUAAAACUCUGUUAUUAGGGAAGAACAAAUGUGUAAGUAACUAUGCACGUCUUGACGGUACCUAAUCAGAAAGCCACGGCUAACUACGUG
rnacentral:rRNA from 1 species